rnacentral:sRNA from 1 species
UCCGGGCGGACGGUAAUCGAUGCAGCAAGUGACCCUGGAGCUGUCCACUCCAGGGGGAAUGCCAUGUCCUUUGUCGCCGGGCCAGGAUCGGCCCGGCGGCAUUUUCCGCACCGGACUGUUGCACAGCCCCGCCCUGGAUGUGGGCCGGGUCGGCUGUUAACGCGUGUUAUUCUUGUUUGCUCAGAGCCGCGUCUGCGCGGCAGCUUCGAACUGCACAUCCAUGAUCCAGCAACGCACCCUCAAGAACACGAUCCGCGCCACCGGUGUCGGCCUGCACAGCGGUGACAAGGUCU